rnacentral:lncRNA from 1 species
UGAUAUUCCUCUAUCAGUUUCACGAAGAGAACUCCAAGGGAACUGCCCGGUUACUUUAUACAGGUUAACUGAAAAAUUUCUUUCAAAGUUUCCAGGCUGUGGCUUGAAGAAUGACAGGCCAUAGGAAGUUUCCUUUGUUCCAUAGGAGAACUGGAAGGUUACCUUUUCUGCACGUCCAAGGAGAUUGGGGAACUUCAGCCCAAGUACCAUACUGCCUUCAUUGUUGCCAACCAUAGUGUUAUAGCUUCCAGUUAGCCUUCUCAAUUCUGUCACCUCAAAGGUUACAUCUAAACCAUUUGGAAGGGCAUCAUCUCCUUGACAGGUAUCAAUCAGAACCUCUACCUGUCUAAAGAUUCCUAGACGAAGCAACUUCUCACGAGCUUCAUGCGAUUUUCUCAUUACAUCAAUGAGGUUUUUCGCCUUGAAAACAUCUGCGAUUUCAUACAUGAUAAUGUCAUCUCUGGUCCUUCCAAGUCCAUCAAAAUGCACGUGCUGAACGACCACAUCUUUGUUUUCAAGAAUUUCCUGCUUGGCUUCAGGCUCGACUUCAACCAAUUCAGCUUCUUCUCCCAGGGCCCCGAAGUCUGGCCCGCUCGCUGGAAGGGGCUCCAAGCUCCGGGCGUGCACGGUGCCCAUGGCGGCGCGGGCUGGCGGGCGCUCGGCGGGGGCAGACGCGGGAACCCUGCGCUCAAGGCCGCAGCACCGGGGCGGCCAUGACAGGAGGCCCCGCCCCAGCGCCCAUUGGGCGAUGGAGGAGGAAGGGGCGGGGCGAGGGGGGUGGCGCCCGGAUGCGGGAGAGCUCAGCCGGAAGUUGGGGUGCCGCUCCUGGGGUAGCGUGUGGCGGAGAGGCGUAGGAGCGUAAAGUAACGCAUAGAGACACCAAACCCGGGCAUUUCAUCUUUUAAUUGUGGUUUCAAUAACAUUUCCAUUUGAGGAUACAUACACACAAGACAGGAAGAGAACAGGCGAAGUAGAAUAGCACCAGGUGUCCGUAACAAGGAUGUGACAGUGGAGCUGUUUGGCCCCUAACAAAACAUCAUUUUCAUGCUGUACCGUUUAGUACUUCGAGCUUAGGGGAAUGGCAGCUGAAAAACCGCUUAAAGGCUGAUCCAAUGCAGAAGCCACACUUAAACUCCUGAAGGAAACAUCCCCUCCUCUCUUCCUUACAUACUGUGUUACCUACGCUCCUCCCUCAGUGCAGUGCUCCCCCUGAGCACCCCUCCAUCUCUUCCCUGCAGGGCUGCCCAGAACUCAUAUGCACACACAGGAAGCCUGCAAACAUCACACGCCUGCUGCAAACACACGGCAAGCUGACCUCCAAAGGCAGAGCCGCUUCCUUCCACUUCAAAACAUGCCCAAGACAUGAUACUAAAACAGCAAAACAGCAGUUAAUCUCAACAGGUACUCCUCCUCCUGAAGGAUUCAUACACUGACGCAUUGUCUUUAUUACAUUUAUGCAGAACCUUCGUUGAGGGAAGUGUUCACAACCCUUCUCUCAAUACAGGUGUGAUCCAGUCCACUUUCAGCCCAUUAUUUGAGACCUCUGCACAGCCCCCGGAUGCUGCCGCUUCCACCAAGUCUUACAGAUCUGCUUUGUCUGACAGCUGCUCUUGGAAAGCUCUCCUGGGGCUGUCAGGAAGAGGAAAGUGAAGGAAGAGCAGAAAAACGUCCCGAGAUAGAAGUGAAAUGAAUGGAUCGAGAAUGACUGGGCAGCAAUUAGAGAGAAGACCAAAACAUUAGCCACCACUCAAUAUACACUGAAGUAUGUUAACAUCUGCCAUAAAGUUUAACACCUGAAAUUAC